AAGCGGAGGAAAAGAACCAACAGGGAUUGCCCCAGUAACGGCGAGUGAAGCGGCAACAGCUCAAAUUUGAAAUCUGGCCCCCCGGCCCGAGUUGUAAUUUGCAGAGGAUGCUUUUGGUGAGGCACCCACCGAGUCCCCUGGAAUGGGGCGCCAUAGAGGGUGAGAGCCCCGUAUGGUAGGACGCCGAACCUCUGUAAAGCUCCUUCGACGAGUCGAGUAGUUUGGGAAUGCUGCUCUAAAUGGGAGGUAAAUUUCUUCUAAAGCUAAAUACCGGCCAGAGACCGAUAGCGCACAAGUAGAGUGAUCGAAAGAUGAAAAGCACUUUGAAAAGAGGGUUAAAAAGUACGUGAAAUUGUUGAAAGGGAAGCGCUUGUGACCAGACUUGCGCCGGGCGGAUCAUCCAGCGUUCUCGCUGGUGCACUCCGCCCGGUUCAGGCCAGCAUCGGUUUUCGCCGGGGGACAAAGGCUUCGGGAACGUGGCUCCUCUCGGGGAGUGUUAUAGCCCGUUGCGUAAUACCCCGGCGGGGACCGACGACCGCGCUUCGGCAAGGAUGCUGGCGUAAUGGUCAUCAGCGACCCGUCUUGAAACACGGACCGAGGAGUCAAGCAUUAGUGCGAGUGUUUGGGUGUAAAACCCGCACGCGUAAUGAAAGUGAACGUAGGUGAGAGCUUCGGCGCAUCAUCGACCGAUCCUGAUGUUUUCGGAAGGAUUUGAGUAGGAGCAUUAACGCUUGGACCCGAAAGAUGGUGAACUAUACUUGAAUAGGGUGAAGCCAGAGGAAACUCUGGUGGAGGCUCGCAGCGGUUCUGACGUGCAAAUCGAUCGUCAAAUUUGAGUAUAGGGGCGAAAGACUAAUCGAACCAUCUAGUAGCUGGUUUCAGCC
rnacentral:rRNA from 1 species